UGCCUCAGCCAGGUCCCCUGGGGCGAGUGCCUGGCAGGCCUCAGUACUCUGGAGAAGGCAGGAAGCACACAGGUGGUGCUAAGAGCUUACUGUGUGCCGGGUGCCAGCAGCUGAUGCAGGGCUUACCCAGUGAAAGAAGAAACAGCCCGUGCCUAGAGAAGCUCACAGUUUAACAGCGAGACAGAUGUGCAAACAAAUAUCUGUGUUAAGUUUUGUAAUUAUAGUGCAUACAACGGUUACAGGAAGAUAGAAGAAGGAGAAAAUAGUCAAUGUAUUUAACCAUCCUAGCAACCCUGGGAGACAGAAAUUGUUGGCUCAUUUUCACAGAUGAGGAAACUGAGCUAAAAACUCUUCAUGAAAUCUACAUGGAUGAUGACAUGCAGGAAGAAUCAUAAGCCAUUUCUACUCAGAGUUCACCAUAUCAUUAAGAAUGAUCAGAAUGACUGUGAAGCACUGGAAAAUUCCUAAACAUGAGAAAAAGAAGACAAUUUAGAGUUUGUUUAUCAAAGCAUCCAGCCCUCCUCAGCAGAAGUAACUGAAGCAAGGCACCUGUGAACUCUGCCUCCCUGGCUCAGAAGCCAGUGCUGACCAGGUCUUCAGAUUUGGACCAAAAUCGAUACCAUCAGCUCUCCCACUCUCAGCCCUUCAAACGACACUGCUGGCUUUCCUGGGUCUCCAGCUUCCAGACAGCAGAUCUUGUGACUUAGCCUCCAUAAUUGUGUGAGCCAGUAGCUUAUAAUAAAUCUCUUAAUCUCUGUCUCUCAA